rnacentral:rRNA from 1 species
CCUACGGGUGGCAGCAGUGGGGAAUAUUGGGCAAUGGGCGCAAGCCUGACCCAGCAACGCCGCGUGAAGGAAGAAGGCUUUCGGGUUGUAAACUUCUGUUCUCAGGGACGAAGCAAGUGACGGUACCUGAGGAAUAAGCCACGGCUAACUACGUGCCAGCAGCCGCGGUAAUACGGAGGUGGCAAGCGUGAUCCGUAUUUACUGGGUGUAAAGGGCGUGUAGCCGGGUUGACAAGUCAGAUGUGAAAUCCUGCGGCUUAACCGCAGAACUGCAUUUGAAACUGUUGAUCUUGAGUACUGGAGAGGCAGACGGAAUUCCUAGUGUAGCGGUGAAAUGCGUAGAUAUUAGGAGGAACACCAGUGGCGAAGGCGGUCUGCUGGACAGCAACUGACGGUGAGGCGCGAAAGCGUGGGGAGCAAACAGGAUUAGAUACCCCAGUAGUC